AACGAUGAAACAUUGAAGUGUGUUUUUUUUUUGUAAAAUGAAUAAUUAACUAGCAAUUUGCUUGAACAAAACUAUCUACAGAAGUUAGAGCGUUUUGUCACUUUUCAGUACUUUGGAGGCCAAUUUCUCCCAGUAGGUUGAGUAUGGGCAGCUAAAAAAAAUACGUGUCUGUUAUUUUAGACUACUCUUUAACUGUUAUAGA